CCUACGGGUGGCAGCAGUGAGGAAUAUUGGUCAAUGGGCGCGAGCCUGAACCAGCCAAGUAGCGUGAAGGAUGACUGCCCUACGGGUUGUAAAUUUCUUUUAUAAAGGAAUAAAGUGAGGCACGUGCGCCUUUUUGAAUGUACUUUAUGAAUAAGGAUCGGCUAACUCCGUUCCAGCAGCCGCGGUAAUACGGAGGAUUCGAUCGUUAUCCGGAUUUAUUGGGUUUAAAGGGAGCGUAGAUGGGUGGUUAAGUCAGUUGUGAAAGUUUACGGCUCAACCGUAAAAUUGCAAUUGAUACUGGCAGCCUUGAGUACAGUUGAGGUAGGCGGAAUUCGUGGUGUAGCGGUGAAAUGCUUAGAUAUCACGAAGAACUCCGAUUGCGAAGGCAGCUUACUAAACUGCCACUGACAUUGAUGCUCGAAAGUGUGGGUAUCAAACAGGAUUAGAUACCCGUGUAGUC
rnacentral:rRNA from 1 species